rnacentral:rRNA from 1 species
UACAGAGGGGGCAAGCGUUGUUCGGAAUUACUGGGCGUAAAGGGCGCGUAGGCGGCCUGUUAAGUCGAACGUGAAAUCCCCGGGCUCAACCCGGGAACUGCGUCCGAUACUGGCAGGCUUGAAUCCGGGAGAGGGAUGCGGAAUUCCAGGUGUAGCGGUGAAAUGCGUAGAUAUCUGGAGGAACACCGGUGGCGAAGGCGGCAUCCUGGACCGGCAUUGACGCUGAGGCGCGAAAG